rnacentral:misc_RNA from 1 species
UGAUCGGCACGAUCUUCGCCUCCUUGCUGGUGCCGGCCGCGCAGUCGUGGCUGUACUACUCCGACCGACUGACCGAGCUGCCGCUGGGCCUGUUCGGCGUCGCCAUCGGCACCGUGAUCCUGCCGCAGUUGUCGCGGCACCAUGCCGAUGCCGAUUCCGCCGGCUAUUCGAAGUCGCUGGACUGGGGCCUGCGCAUGGUGCUGCUGGUGGGGAUGCCGGCCGCCGCCGGCCUGGCGCUGCUGUCGGAACCGCUGACGGCGUCGCUGUUCCGCUAUGGCAAGUUCGCGGCCUAUGACACCCGCAUGGUCGGAUACGCGCUCACCGCGAUGAGCGUGGGGGUUCCGGCCUUCAUGCUCAGCAAAGUGCUGCUGCCGGCGUUCUAUGCGCGGCAGGACACGCGCACCCCGAUGCGCGUGGCCGUGACCACCGUCAUCGCCAACGUGCUGCUCACCGUGGCCAUCGUCACCCCGCUGUACCUCA